rnacentral:lncRNA from 1 species
CAGGAAAUAGGAGCCAGCACUGAUUGGCCUUCGUGGGAAGCUUUUGCAGGGCUUGUUUUGUCUCUUUAGAGGCCACAGAAAGAAGCACGGUUCUCAAGCCUACAGAGCACUUCAGUCCCUGCUUCACCCCAGUUCUGCCAUCAGAGGAAUUCAAAGUGUGCUCUCAUCAUGUCUACUUAAGAAAGAUUUACGACAGAGAUCCAAUAAAAGCCUAAGGAUUUUUGACAUGAAAACAUGAGGUGCCUGUGACAACCUAUCCAAGUUUUUCAAAUGGAUUUGUUUAUUCUAUGUAUGAUUGCUCUGUAAGUGUGAUAGCAAGGGAAUAAAAGAAAUACAUUCUCUGAACA